rnacentral:rRNA from 1 species
UACGUAGGGGGCAAGCGUUGUCCGGAAUUAUUGGGCGUAAAGAGCGCGUAGGCGGUCCGGUAAGUCAGCUGUGAAAGUCAAGGGCUCAACCCUUGAAAGCCGGUUGAUACUGUCGGGCUAGAGUCCGGAAGAGGCGAGUGGAAUUCCCGGUGUAGCGGUGAAAUGCGCAGAUAUCGGGAGGAACACCAAUGGCGAAGGCAGCUCGCUGGGACGGUACUGACGCUGAGGCGCGAAAGCGUGGGGAGCAAACAGGG